rnacentral:rRNA from 1 species
UACGUAGGGUGCGAGCGUUGUCCGGAAUUAUUGGGCGUAAAGAGCUUGUAGGCGGUUUGUCGCGUCUGCUGUGAAAAUCCGGGGCUCAACCCCGGACUUGCAGUGGGUACGGGCAGACUAGAGUGUGGUAGGGGAGACUGGAAGUUCCUGGUGUAGCGGUGAAAUGCGCAGAUAUCAGGAGGAACACCGAUGGCGAAGGCAGGUCUCUGGGCCACUACUGACGCUGAGGAGCGAAAGCAUGGGGAGCGAACCGG